ACCCGAACAUAAGCUGGACCAUCCUGUCAUAAUCAAAAGCAGAUUCAGGCAACUCUCCUAGAAUCGUAGUAAGGUAUUGAAACUAGAAAAACACAGCUUGUAACAAACCAAAGGAGGAAUAUAAGUACUAAAGUAUUAAAUAGCAAGAGAGAGAACCAACACAUCAGACAUAUACAAAUCAAACAAAGUAGAAAUACCAUUGAUUGUGCACUUCUAAGUUACCUCUCAUUUUUCUUAAAAAAAAUAACAUAUGGUAAGCGUAAAAUUGCUAUUCCAGAGAUAAGAAUUCCACAUGGCUCAUCAUGCCUGCCUUUAAAUAAUUCCAGUACUCAUCAAGUGACUGGUGACAUAUUAAACAGUUUCGAAAGAAGGAACAAAAUUUUUGCAAAAAGAUCAUUACUUAUAUUCCCACUGAAGAGAGUUCUAAGUAGGAGAAUUCAAAGACAAUCCUAGACUCGCAUAUUCUAUAUGAAGAAGCUACUCGCAAGAUAUGAACCUGAAAUCAUAGGCCGCAGACCCAUAAUUGCCACCAUGGACCAAAAAAAAGUAACCUCUACAACAAGCAUACAAGUCUAAACACACGUAUACAACUUGAACUUUGAGCCCUACAAAGAUUAAUAAGAGAUUACAUCAUCUAACAAUUGUGCCCUGUAACUUUCAGAUCGAUUAUCAUAGCGCCUCAACAGCUGAAGGUCAGUUCCUGAGAUCAGCUUUGUCAUCAUA
rnacentral:misc_RNA from 1 species